AUGGAAGGGAAGGGCGCCACGCUCGUCUUGCCGGAGCUGCUGAAGGAGGAGGUGCACUCGCCGCCGCUGUCACCGCUGUCGCCGCGCAGCAGCGACGACGAGGAGAUCGAAGCUGACGACAGCGAUGGCGAGGAGGAGGAAGGCGGGGCUCCGGUUGGGACCGGCGGUGCCGUGGCCAGCGGGCCUCCGAUGAAGAAAGGGCCGUGGACGUCCGAUGAGGACCAGCGCCUGAGGACCUACGUGGAGGCGCACGGCGAGGGUAACUGGAAUCAGGUCCAGAGGAACGCCGGGCUGAACCGGUGCGGCAAGAGCUGCCGCCUCCGCUGGGCGAACCACCUCAGGCCCAACCUCAAGAAGGGUCCCUUCUCCAAGGAGGAGGAGCAGAAGAUUAUCGAGCUUCAUGCGCUGCACGGGAACAAGUGGGCUAAGAUGGCGUCCGUUUUAGAAGGCCGCACAGAUAAUGAAAUUAAGAAUUUUUGGAACACCAGAACAAAGAGGCUUCAGAAAGCUGGUCUAGGUCUUUAUCCAGAUGGUUUGUUAUCUCGGCUGGCAAAUCAAGAGAUGGGUUCUCAUAGUCCUGAUGAUUCACGUGGGAAGAAACGGCCGAAUGAACUCUCACAGGGAAAUGGUCUUGCAUUUGAUGAUAUUAUAUUUGAGAAAUUGGACUAUAAGAAGCAGUCAGACAAUUUCCUUACUCCAAAUUUUACAAUUCAAGAUUCUCUUCCAAUGAAUGACAUUAAUUACCCUUUGAAGCGUCAUGCAUCUUCUGGCAUAGUAUCAGACUACGGUGGUAGUCCUAAGUGUGAACAAUUUUCUAAUGAGACUGAGGAGGCCUCUUACAAUGAUCUCAACACUGAGAUGUCUAUUGUUUCUUUUAAUAAUGUCAUUUCCAAUAGCACGCCAUUAUUAGAUGGCAAUUUCCCUAUUUCUGGGAACAUACCGUGGCCCAUUAAAAUGGAGCUCCCUUCAUUCCAAUAUGCCGGCUAUGAUACAAGCACCAGCUUGUGUCCCGCAUCAACUCUUCCUGAACAGGUACAUGGAUUUGGGGUCCCUACAAAGUUCGAAGGAGAGUUUGACUCAGAACUUCCAUUUUCACAUGUUUACCCUUAUAUUCCGCACUCUUCAGUCUUUGAUGACAAUACCCUUGAGUACAGUUCUUUCAAUGAACUUAGAACUUACAAAUCACCUACUGACUCGGAUGCUAUUUUCAUGGACAACAAACAUAAUGCAGACAUAUUCCAGGAUAAAUAUUUUUCGUCAGAUCCUUGUGCCACUGAUGUAUCAGCGGAAGCAACAUUUUUGAAUGAAGAUUCAACACACUCAGAGUAUCAACCCAGCAACGGUCCACUUAAUGCAUUAUUUUAUGGACAUUUUUGCAAUGACGUUGCAUUAUCAGCCAGGGAUGAUCAUCAGACUGUUUCCAGUAAUGGCAUACACAGUACACAGCACUUGUCUGGAUAUUGA
rnacentral:rRNA from 1 species